GUCCCUGUGCACAGUGGUUCUAACAUGGACGGGAUUUGGAUCAUGUUCUAUCUCCUGGCAGCAGCUACAGGUAUCCAGUCCCAGGUUUAUCUGCAACAGUCAGGUUCUGAACUGAGGAGCCCUGGAUCUUCAGUAAAGCUCUCAUGCAAAGAUUUUGACUCAGAUAUCUUCCCUAUUGCUUAUAUGAGUUGGUUGAGGCAGAAGCCUGGACAUGGGUUUGAAUGGAUUGGAGACAUACUCCCAAGUAUUGGUAGAACAAACUAUGAAGAGAAGUUUGAGGACAGAGCCACACUGGAUGCAGACACAAUGUCCAACACAGCCUACUUGGAGCUCAGCAGCCUGACUUCGGAAGACUCUGCUAUCUAUUACUGUGCAAGGCACAGUGUAAUAUUUCAUAUCAGGAACAUGUCAAAAAUUCUGAAGGAACAGGAACCUGUUUGGGAGGUUGAUAAUACCACAAAGAAUAACUGAAGCAGUUGCUCAAACCUGUGUUUAAAUAUUGAGGAAAAGAGCAAAAGGAGUAAGAAUUCAGUCUACUUGCAUAAGGGGAUUCACUAAUCAGCCUGCAUGCAAAAAUCAGAAAGUGGUGUCCCAAUCAACAGGUGCCAUGGACUGACCCAGCCGGGGGAGUCACGACCAAGGGAAAAUCAGGGCUUUGGUAUUCAGGAAGGCACAGGUGUGGCGAGAUGACAGACAGGCACACCAGAGAGCGGUUUGAAUCUGCUGCAACUUUACUUUUUAGUCAGGCAUAUUUAUAAUACAUUGACGAACAGAUCGAGGUUGGCACACCUCCAGAAACACUCAAACAAUUG